GGAUUAUCUGUUAAAGUGCAAUGUUGCAUUGGGUUGCAGUCUCGUUUGGCACCAAUCUAAUUUAGGAGAGAGGCAGACCUGGCUGCUGCACAGAGCAGAGAAGACAGUGUGUGUGUGUGUGUGUGUGUGAGAGAGAGAGAGAGAGAGAUUGUGUUGGGGGUUGAAAACAGUCACACAACAAUCCAACUUGCUAAACAAAAAGUGUUGCCUUCCCUGCCACCCACAAGGCUGUAUAGUCAGACUCACAGUGGAGCUGGGACCACAGUCUGAAGGACUCUCCAAAGAUUUUGUGCUCUGAUUGGCCGACAAAAAGCUGCCACACUUCAGCUAGAUAUGCAAGUAGAAACUGAAGAAGUCUGGGCCCGCUAUAACGGGCAGAUCUAUUAAUUGCUAGAGAGAACAGAGUGUGGUCAAUGUCUCCAUGUUUUAUUCACUGAAGCCCAGAUUAAAAGUCUGGCCAGAUUUUAUUUUCUUUUUUUGGGAGGAAUGGGGGAAGCUGUCAUCAGCAGAACAGAUCAGCACUAAAGAGGGGAAAAAGCAACCCAGCCCACACUGCUAGCACUCUGACAGCAAGACCUGAUGUUAUUUGACAGCUUAGUCCGUCCAGUGUCCUCUCAUUUCACGGGAACAUCUGGUGAGGACCAAACUCCCUCCAAACCCUUCUGCUGUCUUUCAAAGCGGAUCUUCGAGGGUCUUCAACAUCUGACGCCUGCUGCCAUUCUGCUUUGAGGAGUCGACACGGGAAAUGUCCUCACUUCAUUCCACAACACAAGAAUCUAUGCAAGGGAAUGUAUUGUUGGGAAGGCUGUGGAGCCACGGACUCAGCAUCCCAAAUGGAGAUAGUUAGACAGCUCUUUCCUCCCCCCAUCCCCCACACUCCUUCCUGCCCCUGUUGCAAUGGAAAUGAACACGCAUGUAAUGAAGUUGAUUUUUUUUUUUUGGAUGUUUUUGCAUAAACGCACAAGAAACUGGCUGCUCUGUGUGUUGGUGUGUGAAUUUGUGUGUGUGUGUGCCUGCUGAUUGGUCCUUUCACUGAACAUAAAAAAAAACAAACAAACAGUGUGCACCAGUGAUGAAGUGACCUUUACCCGCGUAGACUACUGUGUUGCCCUUUGGUGUUGCUAGAAAUCUGCUUGAAAAUAAUUUAUUUCCUCAGCAUCUAUUUGGUUUGUCAGUUUGGAAAAAGUAUUAGUUGGUCUCAAUUUUUUUGUAAAUCUGUUGUUAAAGAAAAAGAGCAAAUGAGUAAUGUAAGAUAAAUGACAAUAAAAGAUCAUUAGCUAGGUUGUUACUUUCAGAUGCCUCCUCAGUUGUAUUUCUUCCACCCAUUGCCCUGUUAGUCAUGUUUACCCUUUUCACUCUUGAUUGCAGUUAAGAGCCAGUUAAUCUCUCUGGUGAACUGAACCCAACUUCUAAUUCACAGCAAGAAAGUGAGCAGUUACACUCACUGGUCACUUUAUUAGGUAUAGCUUUUCAACUGCUUGUUAGUUCAAAUAUCUAAUCAGCCAAUCACUUGGCAGCCACUCAUUGCAUAUUAGUCAUGCAGACAUGUUCAAGGUGACCUCCUGAGAGCAGCUUCAAAUCGAGCAUCAGAAUAAGGAAGAAAGGUACUUAAAAUUAGUGAUGCUGCUGGUGCCAGACAGGCUGGCAAGAGUAUUUUUAGACACUGCCGAUCUGAAAUUUUCCCACACAACCAUC
ensembl:lncRNA